rnacentral:rRNA from 1 species
AUUGAACGCUGGCGGCAUGCCUUACACAUGCAAGUCGAACGGCAGCACGGGAGCAAUCCUGGUGGCGAGUGGCGAACGGGUGAGUAAUAUAUCGGAACGUGCCCAGUCGUGGGGGAUAACGCAGCGAAAGUUGUGCUAAUACCGCAUACGAUCUAUGGAUGAAAGCGGGGGAUCGCAAGACCUCGCGCGAUUGGAGCGGCCGAUAUCAGAUUAGGUUGUUGGUGAGGUAAAAGCUCACCAAGCCUGCGAUCUGUAGCUGGUCUGAGAGGACGACCAGCCACACUGGAACUGAGACACGGUCCAGACUCCUACGGGAGGCAGCAGUGGGGAAUUUUGGACAAUGGACGAAAGUCUGAUCCAGCAAUGCCGCGUGCAGGACGAAGGCCUUCGGGUGUAACUGCUUUGUACAGAACGAAAAGUACUUAAUAACACUAGAGGCUCAUGACGGUACUGUAAGAAUAAGCACCGGCUAACUACCG